rnacentral:rRNA from 1 species
CCUACGGGAGGCAGCAGUGAGGAAUAUUGGUCAAUGGACGAGAGUCUGAACCAGCCAAGUAGCGUGAAGGAUGACUGCCCUAUGGGUUGUAAACUUCUUUUAUAUGGGAAUAAAAUGUUCCACGUGUGGGAUUUUGUAUGUACCAUAUGAAUAAGGAUCGGCUAACUCCGUGCCAGCAGCCGCGGUAAUACGGAGGAUCCGAGCGUUAUCCGGAUUUAUUGGGUUUAAAGGGAGCGUAGGUGGAUUGUUAAGUCAGUUGUGAAAGUUUGCGGCUCAACCGUAAAAUUGCAGUUGAAACUGGCAGUCUUGAGUACAGUAGAGGUGGGCGGAAUUCGUGGUGUAGCGGUGAAAUGCUUAGAUAUCACGAAGAACUCCGAUUGCGAAGGCAGUUCACUGGACUGCAACUGAGACUGAGGCUCGAAAGUGUGGGUAUCAAACAGGAUUAGAUACCCCUGUAGUC